rnacentral:rRNA from 1 species
AUGCUGCUCUCCCAGUCUCCAGCCGCUACCCAUCCACAGCUUCCCACCUCCUCGCGCCGCACACGCCGCUCGGCACAGCCAUGCCCGCGCGGCGCGGCCGCCGAGUCGCUCCUCCCUCGCGGGCUACGGCCGGAGUCGCUGCCACGCCACGUGGCGGUGGUGAUGGACGGGAACUCGCGGUGGGCGCGCGCGCGGGGCAUGCCGCCGGCGUUCGGGCACGAGGCCGGGCGGCGCGCGCUGGUGGAGACGGUGCGGCUCUCCCGCGCCUGGGGCAUCCGCGCGCUCACAGCCUUCGCCUUCUCCCACGAGAACUGGAGCCGCCCCAAGGCGGAGGUUGACUUCCUGAUGGGGCUGUUCGAGCGGGUGAUCCACGACAGCGUCGCCGAGUUCUUGAGGGACGGGAUUCGUCUACGUGUGAUCGGCGACUGCUCGAGGCUGCCGGCGUCUCUGCGGAGGACGGCAAGGGACGCCGAGGAGGCAACGAGGGACAACUCGCAACUCGACCUGACGCUGGCGAUCAGCUACAGCGGGCGAAGGGACAUAGUGCAAGCCUGCCGGAGCCUCGCGCAGAAGGUGCGCGGCGAGCUGCUCAGGCCGGAGGACAUCGACGAGUCGCUGUUCGCCGGCGAGCUCGAGACGAGCCGCGGUAGCGAGCUCCCGUGUCCUGACCUGCUCAUCCGGACCAGCGGCGAGCUGCGGCUGAGCAACUUCUUGCUGUGGCAGUCGGCCUACUCGGAGCUCUUCUUCACCGACACCCUGUGGCCGGACUUCGGGGAGGCUGACUACCUCGAAGCGCUGUGCUCCUUCCAGAGCAGAGACAGGCGGUUUGGCCGGAGGAAUUCGUAG